rnacentral:tRNA from 1 species
GGAGAGAUGGCUGAGUGGUUGAAAGCCCCGGUCUUGAAAACCGGUAUAGUUGACUAUCGAGGGUUCGAAUCCCUCUCUCUCCU